GAUGAACGCUAGCUACAGGCUUAACACAUGCAAGUCGAGGGGAAACGAUAUUGGAAGCUUGCUUCCGAUAGGCGUCGACCGGCGCACGGGUGAGUAACGCGUAUCCAACCUGCCCACCACUUGGGGAUAACCUUGCGAAAGUAAGACUAAUACCCAAUGAUGUCCAUAGAAGACAUCUGAAAUGGAUUAAAGAUUUAUCGGUGAUGGAUGGGGAUGCGUAUGAUUAGCUUGUUGGCGGGGUAACGGCCCACCAAGGCGACGAUCAGUAGGCGUUCGGAGAGGAAGGUCACCCAAAGUGGAACUGAGACACGAUCCAAACUCAUAGGGGAGGCAGCAGUGAUGAAUAUUGGUCAAUGGGCGAGAGUCUGAAACAGCCAAGUAGCGUGCAGGAUGGCGGCCCUAUGGGUUGUAAUCUGCUUUUAUAAGGGAAUAAAGUGAGCCUCGUGAGGCUUUUUGCAUGUACCUUAUGAAUAAGGACCGGCUAAUUCCGUGCCAGCCGCGGCGGUAA
rnacentral:rRNA from 1 species